UGGGGAAUAUUGCACAAUGGGGGAAACCCUGAUGCAGCAACGCCGCGUGAGUGAUGACGGUCUUCGGAUUGUAAAGCUCUGUCUUCAGGGACGAUAAUGACGGUACCUGAGGAGGAAGCCACGGCUAACUACGUGCCAGCAGCCGCGGUAAUACGUAGGUGGCAAGCGUUGUCCGGAUUUACUGGGCGUAAAGGGAGCGUAGGUGGAUAUUUAAGUGGGAUGUGAAAUACUCGGGCUUAACCUGGGUGCUGCAUUCCAAACUGGAUAUCUAGAGUGCAGGAGAGGAAAGUAGAAUUCCUAGUGUAGCGGUGAAAUGCGUAGAGAUUAGGAAGAAUACCAGUGGCGAAGGCGGCUUUCUGGACUGUAACUGACACUGAGGCUCGAAAGCGUGGGGAGCAAACAGG
rnacentral:rRNA from 1 species